rnacentral:lncRNA from 1 species
UUUUUAUGUGUUUUGUUUGCUUUAUUUGAUUUUUAUUUUGUUUAUGUCAUUUUAUUUGCUAGUUGGUUAUUUGUUUACGUAGUUUUACUUUAUGUGUUUACUUGUCAUAACUGUCAUUAUUUGCAUAACCCCGGGUCUUCUUUCUGCAACAAGUCUUCCAGAGUACGUUUGAGCGUACACGGCCUAUGUUUGAGUCACCCGUGUCUUUAGGGGGGUGGCGUCGGAGCGUGGAGUGGGCGGACAGCUAGAGCAGCUGCCAUCGACCAUGUGCCGCCCUGAAUUGGCGUUGUCUAGUGAACCCCAACCAUAGGUCAGCCUUUAGGUCAUUUUUAUUUGCAUCAUGUCAUUCGAACCUAGUAGGGUUCAGUCCCAGGCACCGUAUCCCGUUGUAGGAGGCCUGUCCAAAUUAUGUCAAAAUGGGCUUAUGGCCCUAAAAAAAUAUUUAUUCAUCCCUAUGUGCUACCUGUUGCAUUUCUUUAGGGGUGAAAGGGUCAUUUAGCGGACCAAGGAUAUUUGAGGGUGA